GGGCGAUUAGCUCAGUUGGAUAGAGCGUUGGCCUCCGGAGCCAAAGGUCACGCGUUCGAGUCGCGUAUCGCCCGCCA
rnacentral:tRNA from 2 species